ensembl:lncRNA LINC00574 long intergenic non-protein coding RNA 574
GGAACUCCUACCUGCCCUUUGCCCUUCUCGAGGCCGGUGCUUGACUGGAGGAGGGCUGGCAGCAGAAGUGCAGCUGACCGGGUUGCGUUUUCGUACGGCUGACUAAAGCGGAUACCGGUGGCGACUCAUUUCUCGUUUUAUUUUUCAACGAUUUGGCGGAGAAGCUCCUCUUGUGAAUGGACUUUGGAUUUCUUGGAGCUGCGCUGCGGGUCCCACAGUGUGGCUUUCGGCCCGUGCUGUGCUGGCGCCUGCACUUCCUCUGGCGGGGCACGGGGUGGCGCUCCCUGGUAAAGCAGCGGCCAGGGGGAGCCGUGAGUGAGGCGCUGCCUCUCCCGCUGAAGCGGGUUCCAAGGCCACCGUGAGGGGGACCAUCCAUCCAGGUAAAACGUGUUCUUUCCUUGUUCCUUUGCGAAUCGAUGGGGAUCAGGCUUCCCCAGGUGGUGAAGUGAGGAACAGGGACCGCGGGGCUCGCCUGACCAGUGGGGUCUCCAUCCUUGUCCGUGCUGACAAAAGACAAGAACAGACAGCGCCUGAAAUCUUCCCGCCUCCGUGAGGGAAGCCUGCGUCUGGGAACGCGCCGCAGGGAAGUGAUCCCUGAGUGAGGGAGGAGGUGCCGGGGCAUCAUUAAUCAGACCUCAAUGCCGGGAAGGUUCUUUGUUUAAAGAAACACUCAUGUUUAAAGAGCACUUGGUGCGGACUUGCUGUGGCCAUCGCCCUCAACAGCUCAUCUUUAGGAGGUGCAGGCUGAAUUCACGCCUCGGUGUCGUCCAUGUCUGCCUGCCGCGCAGAGGAGACAGCGAGAGGCCUUCCCACCGCACGGCUUUUACGGGAAGCUCUUCGCAUUGGCUACAGGGGUGUGGUUUGGUUUAUAGCCACACCAAGUAAUUUUAAUAGAACUCAAUAACUGUGUUGCCUUGCAGGCUCCGAGUGCUACAGGCAGACCCGAGUCCGAGUCUUCCUACGGUUCAUUGUCCCCCCCUGGAUUUCCUAGGGACUCCAGAUACGAUGGCAUCGAUGUCAGUUAACUUGGCACUUCUUAAAAUAGAUCUAUGAUCAAAUCUUAAGUUUUUCCGAAUAAGACUCUGGAGGAAUGCAGGAAGGUCAUUUGAUUACUUUAAAAUAAGAGGAUUUUAUGUUAAAAUAUUGAAAAAGCCAGUCAUAAAACUAAGCUCUGUACCAAUGAAUAUAGUUCGCGAAGCCAGCAGCACAGGCUUAUUAUUAUAAAUAUCAAACACCACCAUUAUGAGUAAGCUCAUUUAUUUUCAAAGCACUUUGCGAUCAUUAAUUGUUCACGUCUGUGAAUACCCCCUGAGAGACAGUAUUAUUAACUGCAUUUGAAAGGAAGAAAACUAAGGCACAGAAAACCCGUAAUUCAUUGUCCUGAGGGGAAAAGGAGACACCAGGAACACGGCUGUCCUUUCGCUGCAUCUUCUCUUUGGUAGAGAUCCAGGGACAUCUGGAACAUCCACCCUCUUUCUCCCACUCACGGCCAUGCCACCACCUAGUGCCUCACUGACAUUUCCUCUCAAUCUCAGGAUAAUCACAUCGAUGUAACACUUGGCAGGUUUGUUAUCUCAGUGUCUAUUAUCUCAAAAAUUAAUCCUAAUAGCAACCUUAGAAAGAGGCAAUAUUAGCCCCAUUUCAUAGGAAAAUGAAGGAUCAGUGAGAAAGUGACAGGUCUGUCACUGGCAGUGCAGGGCAGGGCCAUUGUGGUGAGUCAGGCCUCGGCUGCAGGUCUGAGUUUAUGCCAUUGCCCCCAUCUGUGGGGUCUAGGAGGCUGUUGUCUAAGCAGAAGGCAUGACCCAUCAGGGGCCAUGGGUGGUGGGCACAGAAUUGAGUCAUCUGACUGCCUUCCCACCCACCUGUAUGUGUUCUUUGUUUUAUUUAAGUCCUGUGAGGGUAGUUUAGGACCUUGUCCCUUCCCACAGCAUAGCACAGAAAAUUGGGCAAGUCCAGACCAUGACUAAAUCCACUUUAAAAAACCCACCCCCGCUGAGACCGGCGGAUUCUCUCCCUCCCCACUUGAGAUAUGAUGUUGCCUUAAAUGGUCCAGCAGUCGCGGAGCCUCAGGGGGCCUCUCUGCCUUAGUUGGUGCAUUCCAGUGCUGCUCGGUCUGUAUUUCCAGAUCUUGCUUUUAUCCUUUUAUUUUCUAGAGUAAUUGAUAAUUCCAAUCUAUCUGGCCUGCAUGAGAUUUAUAAAAUAAAUGGACAAAAUAGAAAAUAAAUAUUUUAUGGAGCCAC